rnacentral:rRNA from 1 species
UUGCACGCUGGCGGCAUGCCUUACACAUGCAAGUCGCACGGCAGCACGGGUGCUUGCACCUGGUGGCGAGUGGCGAACGGGUGAGUAAUACAUCGGAACAUGUCCUGUAGUGGGGGAUAGCCCGGCGAAAGCCGGAUUAAUACCGCAUACGAUCUACGGAUGAAAGCGGGGGACCUUCGGGCCUCGCGCUAUAGGGUUGGCCGAUGGCUGAUUAGCUAGUUGGUGGGGUAAAGGCCUACCAAGGCGACGAUCAGUAGCUGGUCUGAGAGGACGACCAGCCACACUGGGACUGAGACACGGCCCAGACUCCUACGGGAGGCAGCAGUGGGGAAUUUUGGACAAUGGGCGAAAGCCUGAUCCAGCAAUGCCGCGUGUGUGAAGAAGGCCUUCGGGUUGUAAAGCACUUUUGUCCGGAAAGAAAUCCUUGGCUCUAAUACAGUCGGGGGAUGACGGUACCGGAAGAAUAAGCACCGGCUAACUACGUG